GAAAGCUUACACUCCAAAGCUUGUUGUGAGCUACCCAUCCCGGUGGGAGGGACCUGGGCCGGGAGCACUGAUGGGGGAACGAAGGGGAGGGGGUGGGGGUCAGGGAAGCUUCUGGAAAAACACUUGCCUUGAUGUAAACUAAGAAAUAAUUGGUUCAAGGCUCAGCACAAAGGGAUCUUUGCGGUGCACAGGGAAGGAAGGAUGCCUCUGGAGGUGGUGGUGGAGCUCCAAAUCCGGGCGAUUUCUUGCCCAGGAGUGUUCCUGCCGGACAAGGAAGUUGUGUACCUUGGAGUCUACCUUCUGAAUCAGUACCUGGAGACAGACUGCUUUCCCUCUGUGUUCCCUAUUGUGAUUCAACAGAGCAUGAGGUUUGAAAAGGUCUUUGAAGAGGCAAUGGAUCCUGGAGCUGUUGCAGAACUUUUAGAAAGCUUCCUAACCAGGUUUGAAUUAGUACAGCUAGUGUCUCCAGCAUGGGAAGAGUUGGCCUACUAUGAAAAAAACACCCGAGACUUCCUAUUCCCUGAGCCCAAGCUGACAUCCUCACACCUUGGCAUGCAGAGGGAGGUGCUCAUGAAGACGGCUAUUUGGUUUCCCGGCAUUGCUCCCAAACUAGAGUUUUCUACAAGGACAGCCAUCCUAGAGUGUGUGUUCCCGUGUAAAAACAGAUUUCUUUGGGAAGAAAGGUGUAAAUUGCAACAGUCUUUCUCAAAACUGAACGGACCGGCAAACAACAGGAAAAAGAAGCCAAAGGAGAAAAAUUCUGACCAGCUCUCCAAAGGCACACCAUUUUGGGGACCCUCCCCACAACGACUCCAUCUCCACCGGCCCACACAGAGGAACCCUGGAAAGAGCUUCCGGUUUCUGGGAGAAAGGAAGCCUCCAUUUGUGGUUAGACAUGUGGACAGUGGAAACCCCUUUGGUGAAAAUAAUUUGGAGCACCAUUCACAGAAGUCCAGAAGAAAACCUAAGUUUAUAAACUUUGAUCUUGCAAAGAAAAGAGCGUUUUCUCUUGACAGUCUCGAGGCAAACAUAAAGGUUGUCAGAGAGCCGGACGAGCGGAUUGUCUUAAGGAGUCAGUCACCGCCACCUCUAAAUUCAGGCCAUUUCAGAAAGCCCUUGCUCAAUCACCAAGGGGAUGUCGAUUUCCACCCGGAAACUACAGUUACCACCUCUCAGCUUUCCAGCCCUCCCAGCCCUCUGGAUCACUCUCUUCUCCAAGAAAGGUUCCAGCCUUGUUCUGCAUCCAUGUGGCAGAAGAUCCAGGAGAGGGCAUGCAGUCUUCUGACACCCAACAGAGCUCACCCAAAGGAAGAUUCUAUCUCUGAAACAAAUUCCAUCCAUGAAAGACCAAGCUACCUUCUGAGGAAACACUUGCUGCGAGAGCACAGAUAUUUUUAACUACUACCUCAUGGGAACAUGACUGAAGGAUGCAGAGCUCGCUCAUGGAGACACUGACACACGAACAGCAUCUGCUGUUGUCUGGGUUGACUUACUGGUGCCUAGCCCUUGUUAAUUCAAAUCUUAUACUCGGUCUUUUGUGCCCAAGGAGCUGACACUUAGAUCCAUGUUUUGAACUGAGAUAAGGAUCACACCUGUUUUAGUGGAAUGACUUCCGGGAACAGAAUGUGAGUGGCAGGUGCUGUGGGUGGAACUGCUUGACUCAUUACGGAAACUCGUCAUGAAAGAUCAUCUGACUUUGCGUAAAGGAAGUUCAACCCCGGGCGUAUGAUGGCAUCCUUUGUGUGCUGGGUCAUACUGCCCUACCCCCUGGUCAAUCCCCUUCCACAGCCUUGUGGGAAUCCACCACUUUCUAAUUACUGUGUGUAAUCAGGUUCCGACUUCGUGCUCAGUAGAGAGGACUGGAUCCUGUGGUGAGGGAGAGGUCAUGUCAGGCUACAAGAUACGGCCUGUCCCCGAUUGGAGUUUCUAUCCUUACUAGUGAAUAAGAUGUUCUAAGUGUGGUUCUUGGAGGAACAUUGCAAGCUAAGACUCGGUGGAUGGAUCUGUGAUUUCAACCACAGUGGGGUUUGAAAUAGCGGUGGCUGGGAACUGGAGAGAGAUGGACCAUGCAUCUCUCCAGUAUCAAAUGAGAAGUUCAGAUUCCUCAAACCCAAAUCUAAAACUACAGAAGUCUCCAUGGCUACCUGGAGCUGUGCUCAGUAGUAUAAAAUAAGGAUACAGAUUUAAGUGAGGCCUAUAGAAAUCAAUGUCAUUAGUUUUUAGCCAAGUCUCAUAUUAACUUAGUAAAAUAAGGUAAUAUCUGGCCAUGUGAUAAAUGCUGUCAUUUCUCGGUGACCCUGGAAAAGGGGAAGAGGACCAGUGAUUUCCUUGGAUGUUAAAGGAUAGGAAGAAUUUGGACAGAAAUUUGGGAGAAGUGAGGCAUUUGGAGAGAGGACAUUGGGCUGUGGAGGGAAGAGGAUUAUCUAUCCUCUGAGGGCAUCUUCUAAAGUGUCUCAGAUAUUAACCCUGGGGCUUAGGACUUUGUGCCAUGGACACUAAAGUUUAGGGGCGAGAAAGAGAGGACUUUCUGAUGAUGGUGCUUCAGAGUGCAGAAGUGGCUGGUCAGGCAUGGGAGGAAAUCACAAGGCAGCUUCUCUUAAUGGUGUUUCAGUGUAUGUGUGUGUGGUGGGGCCAGGAUCCCAAUCCUCUAAGGAGGCAGUGGGGCCAGUGGCCUUGGCUGAGCUGCACGGCAAAUACGAAAUAUGUCAUAUGAGCAAGCAUUGGCCAAGAAGACAACCACCUUGUAGCCAGAACUCAGUACACCAGCUCCUUCAUUUUCAGUAUCUGUGGUUUUUGUGAAUCAAGAUGAACUCAGAGGCUAGGAGGUCAAGAAAAGUCUUUUGGGAAAGGAUUUUAUUUUAAUAGUCUCUUUUUAGCAGGGGAACUAGAAUAGGAAAUACUCGGAAUACUUGGAGGAGGGGAAGGGGGUUACUGAAUGGUACAACAGGGAUGGCCAGGGGCGGGAGGCCUAGCUUUUGUUUAUCUUUCUGAAUCUCACUCUCAUUUGGAAGGUUUCAUUGUUGUAAAUAGGAUUUAGAGGAUUAUUAACACACAGGUUGUUUAUUCAAGGAUUAAUGGGAAGAGGAAAUGAAGGAACAUUCAGGUUCCAUUAUUGUCUAAAAGGAAAAAUCCUGGGCACCAACUUCAGAGUCAGCACGGUCCUCUCAGGGGUUCCCUCACUGAAUGCAUAGCAGGGGACUCAAACGAUUGAGCUCACCUCUGUAAACAUGCUCAGAUCUGUUGGAUUCAAAGGCGGGAAGAACCAUUACUACCCAAAGAUAAAGGGGGCAUAAUGGCUAUGUUCUGGAAACUACACUCAGUUCGGGAGAGACUUCUGGAAAAGGUUCUGAGGUUGGUGUGGAAUCAGUUUAGUUUAAGAGCCCAGGAGAAGUAGCAAAUGGGAUCUGGAGUUUGGCUGUGUGGUCAGGGCAGGAGACCUAAGGGGCCACCGACACGACCUGCCGAGAUGCCCCCUGUGGCCAUAUGCUUUUGGUGAUCAUCUGUGUAGAGUGAUAGUUGUGACAACAGAUGGCUUUCUGGUGGGAUGCACGUAGAACUGAUUGAUCCAAAGCUUGUUCACUCAUCCCUCAGUAUUCAAAGGACCCAUGCACGUUUGGCAGAAGUAGAAAGAAACAGGAAGGCUACUUGGGAAUGUGUCAGGAAAUGCAGAGGGACAGGGAACUACAAUAUCGAUCAAUCAAAGGGGCUGAGUGCAGCAGGAGACAGGAUACUGGUGACUGGGGAAAUGCCUGUUUGCACUUUGCAAAUGGAGCACUGGUUGCCAUGGAGGCUUGGGAGAGCUGUGUGGGUGCUGCCUGCCUGCCUUUGACAGAUAUCCCUUGUGGGAUAAGGGAGCUCUGAUUGGAAUACUUAGAGGGGACUUGAGUGGAGAAGGAUAUGAUACUAAGGAUAUCAAAUCAGGCACAAAGAGGGGAAAGAUCAAACCACUGGGUGAAAGGAGGUUCAUUAACAUUUUAAAUGGCCUAUUGCCAGAAAUAGGAAAAUGGGGAGAGAGAAUUUGUCUAAGUAAAUUCAGUUGUAGCAAAUUAAAUCACAUUAGAAAGCACCAAGAACCUUGAAGGAGGACACUGGAUGCUGUCAUGCACCCCUAGAAAAAGACUUGAAGUCAUGUGUGUGUCCUAGCUGGGGGAACCUGGGCAAGUUCUUAACGUCGGUCAGCCAAUUCCCUCAUCUGGAAAACAGCAAUGGGAGGAGAGUUAAAAAGAACAAAUAGGAUUACAUACAUGUAAAAUAUUUAGCCCUUUGCCAGCACACGGUCAGCAUUUGGUGUUGCAGGGAUCAUAUUCAGUCAUUUGAAUCACUUUAUCGAGAUGCUUGUCAUAUAUAAUAAGAACCAUCUGCACAGCCGGAGUCAUCUGUGUCUAUCACCUCAGAACAAGCUUCCCUUCCUCCCUUGUUAUAUGCUGAAGACCCUCUUAGCAAAACUUUAAGUAUUGCAAUGUAGUAUUUUUAAUUACAGGCAUUAUGCUGCAAAGUAGAUUUCUACAAUGAUUCUUAAAUGCUUCAAAAUGUUCAGGCCACCCUAGACUUUAGUUAAAGUGAAGCACCAGCAAUCCUGGCCUUUUCUGCCCAGCAGUGUCCUGGAAUGUUGGAAGAAUGUUGGUCCUGGAACUGAAUUGCUAUGUCCCCACCUCUGUUCCUUAUGCGACCCUGGGAAAGUGUCUUAACCUUUUGUGCCAGGGUUUUUAUUUUUGGUGGUCGUGAUGAGGGGAAUGGCAUGUCAUAUUACGGGAAAGGAUUACAAAGGUGACAAAGUACUGGAGUCACGUGCCCACAGGUUGUGUGCCUCUGUGGUUUCUUACUGAAAAUUUGCUAAGUGCAGAUGGGUAUCAUCCUAGUGCUCUGCCAAGUCCGCAGUACCUCUUCCCCCUGUCACAGAGCGAAGGCUCCUCACCACCAUCAAACCCACUGUCGCUUCUGCUCCCCUCUUCUGAUCACCAGGUCACACUAUUUCCUAUGGGGACUCUAAAAACAGAGAUGGGUUUUUUUUUCUUUCUUUUUUUCAGAGCUGGGGACUGAACCCAGGGCCUUGCACUUGCUAGGCAAAUGCUCUACCACUGAGCUAAAUCCCCAACCCCCAGAGAUGGGUUUUUAAUAACCCAGAGAGCUUACAAAAAAAUUAAAGUCAUCUGUUGGCACUGGUAAUGACACUUUGCGUGAGUAUCAUUUGGGAGAUGGCUAAGCUCAUGGUGCGGGCCUCUGCUCAGUUCCACGAGCUAUUCCAAACUUUGUUCUAGAUCGGUGUGUUGUUGGGAAUUGUUGUUGGGAAUGUCUCCACAUUGCAUUGCAGUCAAGACUCCCUCCUGUAUUCCUGUGCCCAGAAAGCAACUGGCAUUUGUAUGGUGCCUUUUCUCAAUAGGGUCAGGAAAUUCUGUUCCUUUGGUAUCUAGUACACAAAUGAGUCCCGUUCUGGAGAACCUGCCGGUAACUGAGUUGCUCAAGUACAAGCAUGUCAUCUCUCUCAAGGGCAGCCAAAUCCAGCCACUCAUAAUUGGCAGUCCUAUUUCAGAGGGCAGAACUGGCCCUUCAAUGAACCAAGUCGUCACGCUAUUGAGAUUCAGCUGACUCUAAGGAUAGCAAUUUCCAGCAAAUACUAUUUCCGAUUAGCCACACACUAGGAGUCCAACUGUCCACAAUGGCCCAGCUUUUCAGUCUUGUAAUCCUCACUGGUGAACAAGAAGGAUCAGUGUGUCUUCCUCAAGUCCUGACCUUUCAUUCUGCAGGCAACAGAAUGUUUCUGAGCCGAUCUCUGGUUUUAAAGCCAGUGAUCUCAGAGUUUUUCUAGCAGUAGCCCAAAAUUUACCUUCUCACACCCACCCAGGUAAAUAAAAGAACACAUGAGAGACAGAAAGAUAAGGGAGAAAGUGUGGGAGAUGUUUAUUGAGAAAAAUGGAACGCGUCCUCUUGAGAUAACAGCACAGUGUGUUAAGCAGCUGGUUACAAGGAUGACCCCAGUGAACUCGUGGACAGCUCUGCCAAUUAAUUCAGUGCCACAGACAAGAACCACCUGAUAAGGGGACAGAACCAGCCAUUCCUACAUAAAGUAUUCAUCCAACCUCAUUUAGAUUUAGAUUUGCUUCCUAUAAAGAAUAGGGAUAUUUGUACUUCAAAGUUCGGAGUCACUGGUCACUGUGAGGGUCAGGCUGUAGCCUUCAGGUGGCCAUGGUCAACACUCGUUUACCUUUCUGUUAUCUUUGGCACGAUUUCUGGCUUCUCAAAUAUAAAAGCACGGGUUUAAGAUGAGUUAAGGGCACUACAGAAACAUGGCUGUUCUGAAUCCGUCCACAUUAAGAACGAGUUUUUGUUGGGUUUUAUUUACAGGAUGGGGACAGAAGUGUAGAAUUUUAAUAGUCCAUCUUCAGAAAUUAGCAGGAGAAAGACAGGCAGAGGAUUCUAAGCCACAAGGCCGAGAUUUUCAGAACAGUCUUCUCCAGAGACAGACUGAAGCAUUUCCCCUGAACCACUGGUAUCAGUAGCUUGUGGCCCGGCUUUUAUGGUUUUUAUUCUGUAAGAAUUCAGCAUAGAGCUGGGCAUGGUGGCACUUGCCUUUCAGGCCAGCACUAAGGAGGCAGAGGCAGGAGGAUCUCUGUGAGUUUGAGGCCAGUCUAGUCUACAUAGUGAGUUCCAGGAUAGCCAGGGCUAUGUAGACAAACUCUGUCUCAAAAAACUAAAAAAAUAAAAUAACAAAAGCUAAAAUAAAAAGACUACAGUAUUAGAAUAGCUUGGUCACCUUCCGAUGAAGCUUAUUCAAUUUAUGCAGCCCAUUUUGAAACAGCUUAGGUGAUGGCUCGCCACUGCUGGUUUGGCCCUGGUGGUCAGAGAAAACCAAGGGCAGAAAGGUGACAGCCUUGUGAAGUGGGCCUUGAAGUGUACUUGAAGAAUGAAGCCUUCUGUUGCUAUCGGAGCACAUCUUGCCUCUACGGUCCCUUUGUAAAUGUACUUAUUCCAUGCCCGACAAGGGUUUCCCACCCUCCAGGGAGCUUGACCUUAGAUGUUGUCAAUGGAUGGCUGGGCCACCCUAGAGUUUCUGCUUUAGGGCUUGAACCACAGUAACCCAGCAACUUGAUUUCUCACCCCAGAGCGCCUGAGAGCGUCCUCGUGAGCUCUGAAGCACAGCAAGGCUGGAGCUAGAGCCCUGAUUCAAGUACAAGGAAAACGUCUCGUUUCACAUUGAUAGUUCAUUACUGAUCUCUGUCUUGAAAAUUACAUGAAAAUAAUAAAUAUACACACAUAUACAUAUAGUUCUAUACCGAACACUGACAUCCAGCGUCCCAAUACAGUACAUUGAAUAAAAAACCCUUCCCUUCCCCUAAGCCCCACAAUAUCUUGAAACUGUUAUUGCAGACUAUGCUGAUCCUUUUUGCUUUUUUUUUUUUUCCCAAAAGUAGUUUGAGAGUUGCUGGAGAUGAGGUCAAAAUGGAAAAUUUGGCACUAGUUGACUGGGUGGGGCUUUUGAGCUGAAUUAUAAUCUAUAAAAAGUGAGAAGGCAAAGGAAGCCCCGCCAAUAGAAAGCCUGAGUAAAAAUUUGUAGCCAAUAAUAUUGUUUAAAAACCCCAAAUAUUGGUCUGUGCUUGAGAAAGCAAUUUUUCUCCCAGACCCAUGACCUAAUCCUAACAGUUACUACGUCAUAUACUUCUAAACUUUGUUUUACAGAAUUAGAAAGUCCAGAUAACACAGCUUUCUUAAUUUCCCUUCGGUUCAUCCCACCCCACGUUCCCAAACCCAGAGAACAAAGGCUAUAGAGCCAAAUAUAGAAAAUAAUCUGGAGGUCUGUUUAUCAAACUAAAUGUACAGUUGAUUCUUUGUGUCCUUCUCGCUCCUUAACGCUGGAGUUGGCUAAGAGAUGGCUCCCUCGGAGAUGCCCUUCACAGUCCCAGGCAUCUAAGGCCAGGCAUCUAGAACUGCGAGGUCUGAGUGAACGAGAUGGUGUCAGAUUUGUCUACCGAGAAGCCCCCAUUGACGUAAGACUUCUUCGUAUCUGAGUCUUCAUUAUCCAGGAUUGUGGGCUCCAAGGCAAAGGGGUUCACAAUGUUGACUUCAGAGGAGACAUCCACCUGCUCCAGCUCCUUCUUGGACAGCUUCUCCACGAUGCCCGUCCCAAACGCAUCACCCAGAACGUUCACCAUGGUCCUGAACCGGUCCCUGGGAAAGAGACAGGAGAGUCAGAAUGGGCUGAUUUCCUCUUCCUUCUCCAUUGUGUGGAGAAAGGAAAGGUUCUGAUGUUCAGUUAAGAUCUAAGUCAAUGCAUUUGCAGACUGCCUGGCUCAGCGCAUGCUGCACUGGCCUGGAGCAGAAGGUGGCUUCUAAAGGGCUGAAUAAAAAAACGGGCGCCAUUUGGUCUGUGCUCCCAAUAAGUAACAAUGA